rnacentral:lncRNA from 1 species
AUCUGAGCUAACUGGUCAUCAUAAGAACGUAGGGUCCAUAAUUUCUCUAAUUCAUAGAUUUCUCUGGUUUCUGGAAGCAUCAAAUGAAUCACCAUGCUGCCUGUCAGGGACAGAUAAGAGAUACAAUGAAGGAAUAGUUCAUUUGCUUUUAUUCUUACCUUACAACACACACUGGCUAACUCUAGGAAUAAAGCAGUGGUUCUCAAGUGUGGUUCCCAGAUUAGCAUCACUGUGGACUCCAUCCCAGCAAAAAUACCACAGAAGUGAUGCUAUGCCUUUCUCAGUGUACCUACAGGAGGCAUAUGUCAAUAUAUAACAUUGCUGGUGAUAGUAACUUUAUCAAAGAGACUAAUGGUGUCAGGAUUCUCUUCGGUGACAAUUCUCCAUGGGUAACACACUUCUGCACAUCUUUUGUGCAAAAACACUGACUGCCUUUUGUUUUGACUAUCCAAGAAUGUUUGUAUCGUGAAUAUUCUUAACAGAAAGAUACUGCCUCCCUCCAGGGCAAAGGGCAGCUUUGCUUACAGCAGCAUUUCUCAAUUAGGUAAUAAUGGUAAUGUUUAGAGUCAUUUUUGAUUGUCACAAUUGGAGAAGGGAGGAUACUGCUAAACAUCGUACCGUGCACAAGAGACACCCCUCCCCCACAUGCAAAAUUACCUGGUCCAAAACGUUAAUAGCGACAAAAGUGAGAAACCAUCAGAGCAAAAGUAGGCCUGCUUCCUGCCAGUUAUAAAAAACCUAGACACCCUCAUCUGAGUUCCAGUUUUACAACUGUGUGUGCUGGUGUCAUCUGGCCCAUGUUGCCCUAUGGAAUCCAGAGCUCAGGAAACCAGUGCAAAAUGGAUGCUGGCUACUGCUGUGAGUAAUAAACUGUUCUUUGUCUCUAACCCUCUAAUAGUCUUGUCUUUUACCAGUGUCCAUGAAAACUGGCGGGACAAUGUAUUAGCUUACAAGCAGAAUAAAAUCUCAGACUCCUCAGUUCUUGACAUACAGUUAUGUUUCCCCUUUGUAAAUAUUAUCUUGUUGGGAGGUGCUUUGAAACUAUGUACACAUUAAUACCCAAAGUUGUUAGAUCUUUUCAAAAUUCUAGUCUUCUGCUCUUGUCCUUUUUUGUGCCUGGAAUAACCUCAUCCUCAUCUCAUUUAUGCACCACAGCCCCCAAACCUUCCUCUACCACUACUAAGGAAUCUCUCCCGCCUCUACUAUGUUAUCCUGUUGUCCACCACCUUCCUGAUCUGUGUGGCUAGUAGAUACACACCAUGUAGUAUAUAUCUUCCUCCAGGAGGGCAUCAUCUAGGGUACUUUGGUUUGGUUAGGUGAAAAUUCUACAUGUGAAUAAGACCACCUGGAUUAUAACUAAAAAAACUUUUGUUACCUUAAACACACUUCAAAAAUCUUACCUGGAAAUACAUUCAUCAAUUUGAUCUCAAUCCUUUUGCAACUGAAAACAAUUCAAGAUUAGCGUAGUACCAACAGUUACCUGUAAAAUACGCCAGAAUAACUUACCAAAAUCCACGCACAGCCAGUCAUCAGUGUCCUUCCCUUCUAUCUUAACAUGAGGGUCA